rnacentral:lncRNA from 1 species
GUAGAUUGGCUAGGAACCCGUGAAUCCAUAAGGUAUGAGUAUGCUCUUGCCCGGAAUAGAUUCUUGUUUGAAACUCAAAGAAUUCUCGUCGGACUAGAGCCAAGAGUUACAACAUAUUCAAACGACAAAAGCACACAAACAAACGUUGACACGAACACAAGGCUUCAAGUGACUAAUUGACAAGCUAGUAGGAAUGUACUAGUUUGUUAAUUAGUUCUCAAGUCAAUUAGAGGAAACUAGGAAUCAAUAAUUAGAAACUAGAACAUCCAAAUUUGAGCUUAAUUAUCACGUGAACAGUAACUAGGGUGANN